rnacentral:pre_miRNA from 1 species
AGUGGGAUAGCUGGGUCAAAUGGUGGUUCUAUUCCAAAUUUUGUGAGAAAUCUCAAUACUGCUUUCCAAAGUGGUUGCACCAACUUGCAAUCCCAUCAACAAU